AGGAACCAAGAACAUAUACUAUAUGCUGACGAACAGUUGAACACUUCCACUGAUGUUUACUUUGGCAUGAGAAGAGUACAAUAUUUGCACAAGUUUGAUUAAUCAAUCAAGAGACAGUGAAGCACACAAAACAAAUCUUGCUGGUCUCAAACUCUUGAUGGAAUUCUUGUAUACAGCUAUUUAUAAACCGAAGGGAAAG
rnacentral:lncRNA from 1 species